CAGGAGCGGACGGCCGCAAAAUGGGGAACAAAAGACGACGCGGCCGGCGAGCGAUGCUCACGCGGGCCCGCGCUUUGCUCCGAGGCGGAGCCUGGUGACAACGUACCUCCGGGGACAGAACGCAUCGGGACCUUGUCGCGGAGACACGUGCGCCGGGUGUGUCGAGGCUCUCGAAGCGAGUGACGCAACGGCCGGAGAGCGACGAGCUUUCGGGACUCGCUAAAAGGUCACAUCCGACGCCGCCGUCAACUCGCCGGCUGCUUUCUUCUCACCGUCGAGAUGAAAUCCUGGAAUGAUGACAUCAAAUCAGGCUCGGAGGAGGAACUCGUCGUCCUCCUCCUCCUCCUCCUCGCCCCAUAAAGUUGCACCGCCGUCUGGAGCAUUUUCCAUUGCGUCCGUUUUCGAUGAAGGAUCCUUUUCGGGGUUUGGCAAACGGUACGGGAGUUUAAAAAAAAAAAUGAGUGAAUGAAAUGAUGAAAUGA